rnacentral:rRNA from 1 species
CCUACGGGAGGCAGCAGUGAGGAAUAUUGGUCAAUGGGCGAGAGCCUGAACCAGCCAAGUCGCGUGAGGGAGUACUGCCCUAUGGGUUGUAAACCUCUUUUGUCGGGGAGCAAAAGCCGGACGUGUCCGGCUGUGAGAGUACCCGAAGGAAAAACAUCGGCUAACUCCGUGCCAGCAGCCGCGGUAAUAAGGAGGAUGCUAGCGUUAUCCGGAUUUAUUGGGGUUAAAGGGGGCGCAGGCGGAUUUUUAAGUCAGCGGGAAAAUCGUGGGGCUCAACCCCGUCCAGCCGUUGAAAGUGGGGUUCUAGAGUGUGCGAGAGGUAUGCGGAAUGCGUGGUGUAGCGGUGAAAUGCAUAGAUAUCACGAAGAACCCCGAUUGCGAAGGCAGCUUACUAAACUGUGACUGACAUUGAUGCUCGAAAGUGUGGGUAUCAAACAGGAUUAGAUACCCUUGUAGUC